UACGAAGGGGGCGAGCGUUGUUCGGAUUUACUGGGCGUAAAGGGCGCGUAGGCGGCCCUCCUUGUCGCGUGUGAAAGCCCCGGGCUCAACCUGGGAAUGGCGCGCGAAACGGGCGGGCUUGAGUUCGGGAGAGGAGCGUGGAAUUCCCAGUGUAGAGGUGAAAUUCGUAGAUAUUGGGAAGAACACCGGUGGCGAAGGCGGCGCUCUGGACCGAGACUGACGCGUGAGG
rnacentral:rRNA from 1 species